rnacentral:rRNA from 1 species
GUCAGCAACAUUAUUUCUGAGGUCUUAUCAGAUCUCGGAAGCAAAGCAUAGCUAGGCCUGGUUAGUACUGGUAUGGGAGACCUCCAUGGAUCCCAGGUUGGUGCUGUCA